CCCCCUUUACCCACAGCAGGGGAGGGGGCUUCCAAGGGGUAGGGGUGGCUUAAAAUUCCCAAGCCCCAGGAAUAAGGGGAAAGGGGAAGCGUGCGGGACGGAGCAGCCAUGCUGGAGGGAGAAGGGGGAGAGAAAGGAGAGAAGAGGAGAGUAGGAGGAGAGUGGGGUCCUCGUGCAAAACGGAGAGACAGGUGGCCCAGGAAGGGCAGGGAGGAGGCCGUUGGCAAGGGCACCGGUGGGACUUCUGGCUCUACUGCCACUGAACCCCCAGCUACACUUGCUGUCGAGGGUCCUGAGCAAGCACUCAGGGCCAGCAGCCCAUCAGUUCCAGCCCCUGUCACCGAGACGGUGGGGCUGGUAGGGGUGACGGGGUCUCUCAGUCCCCCACUGGGGCCAGGCCGCAACCCUCCACUGGCCCCCAGUGCCCGGCUCCGGAGCUUAGAGGGAGUCAUGAGCUGUGGGGGGUACGGUGGGCCAGGAGUCCCGCUCCCCCCAAAGGCCUGGCCGUCCAGGUAGGCCACAUAGGUGUCCAGAAGCUCGGGGCCACUGGACACACCAGCCCCACCCCCGCCACCUCCACCACCCCCUGCGCUCCCACCACCUUCAGCAGACAGGCUGCUCAGCGUGGAUGCGCUACUGAUGGUCUCCAGGGGGUGGUCACUGCUGCUCCGACUGUCCACCUCCUCAAUACCAGAAUCCGUGCCUGGUGGAGGGUCUGGACCCGGCUGAGGGACGGGGGGAGCCGGUGCUGCUGGGGCCGGAGGGCCUGGUGGAGGGGGGUCUCCAGGAGCUGAAGGAGCCCCCUGGGUCAGUGUGGCCACCUCACUGUCGUAGGACGUCAGGCUCGAUGCGGUGGAGUCCAGGGUGGGAGGGGCGGGGGCCACCGCUGGGGG
rnacentral:lncRNA from 1 species